UUUUCUCCUUUGCUUCCUCUCCAUCAGGAAGAAACAGCUUGGAGUGUUCUGCAGUUCAAACAUUAAGAAAACCUGCCUUUUGACCAUUCUGUGAUCUUUCAUUGCCUCCAAACUUCUCGCUUCCUAACUCAUGAAGCUGAAAUAAUGUAUCUACUUUGAACACUCUUGCUGACUCUGAGAACGGCAUGGUCGAAACGCUGCGUUAAAACGAAAUCCACCGAAGUGAAGUCACCAGUCAAUCCUAUAAAGGUCAGCUGAGAAGUCCCAUUGAGUUCAGUGGUGUUUACUGCUGGGUAAACGGUUAUAAGAUUGGAUUUAUAGUUUGUUUAUCCUUUGCUGCAAAACAGCUCAGAGCAAACAUAGGGAAGUAAUUCAGCAUCAAACCCGGGGUGUGUGUGUGUGUAAAUGGACGAAAAUAUGAUUUUUAAUUUUUUUAAGUGGACUUGAGGGAACAAUUCCUUAUAGGGAACGGAAACAGACCGUGAAGUUCCAAUAUAUGUAUUUAUUUCACGUUGUUGUUGUUGUUGUUUUAACUUCCCGGGGUCGUAGUGGCUGGUUAUACUUAUUUUAUUUGGCCAGGCGCUAGCGAGAUCUAAAAUAAGGUUUAAAUUCAGGCAUUCUUCGGCCCGGCCGUUGAAAUCGAUGAGACUCCAGUUCCAUACCAGUUCCUUCCCUCCCACUGAUUUUCGACGAGUUUAGUCGAAGUCUGAAGCUCUGGAUCCACACCCACCACUCCCGCAGCUAGCAGCUGAUUACUGAAAUACGGAGGACGUGAGUCUCUAUUGCGGGCGGUCCUCCCCCUUCAGUUACUGGUGGCUCUCCCACGACGACUGGGGCCGGAUUCCGACCCUCAGCAUCUCUCAGCCGAGAAGACCACGGUGGCGUCUGAGCCCCAACGAUUAAGCCAGAAAGCCAGCCGAGUUUGCCACAGCUCAGACCCUUGGCUUCUGCUCUUCCUCUUUUUCUUUCUCUUUUUUAAAGAAAGCUGCCUCGAUCCACCACCAUCACCGGGACUCUGCAGGACCCCUUCACCGCCCACCGGAUUUAUUAUUUAUUUACGCUUUUACACUUGUAAACCGCUGGUUUGGAUGGCCAGUUCGGGUGGCGUACAAAACAGUCAA